ACCAGCACGUUAUGGUGGGCACUCUAAGGAGACUGCCGGUGACAAACCGGAGGAAGGUGGGGAUGACGUCAAGUCAUCAUGGCCCUUACGGCCUGGGCUACACACGUGCUACAAUGGUCGGUACAAAGGGUUGCCAAGCCGCGAGGUGGAGCUAAUCCCAUAAAACCGAAUCGUAGUCCGGAUCGCAGUCUGCAACUCGACUGCGUGAAGUCGGAAUCGCUAGUAAUCGUGAAUCAGAAUGUCACGGUGAAUACGUUCCCGGGCCUU
rnacentral:rRNA from 1 species